CUAGCCUGGGAAUCAGCUGAGAAAUGAAUGUGGUAAUGAAAUACAGCAGGAAGAUGGAAACAGGAAAGUGCAGAGCUAGAAGAGGAAAGGACGUUUAGAAGAACAGGCAAUCUUGCCUCUGAAUUUCUGAGCACCAAAGCUGAAACUUGUCAAAUGUUAUUGUGAAGCAGAGACUCUCAAAUACAAUGGUUUUGUCUGCCAAGGAACAUCAUCAAACGGCAUUUAAUGUUUUCACAACUAAGAAGUACUUCAGGCAUCAGGUUCCAUGUUGCCAAGAUUCACCACUGUGUCUCCACACCCAUACGGCUUCAGCCAGACUAAAUAGACUGUUUCAAUAGGGUCUUGGCAAAUUAUUAAUUAUCUUUAUUCAGAGUCACCGCAAGAAAUAUGUAGAGGAGUCUGGUUAAUGAAGCUUGCUGAGAUGGAG
rnacentral:lncRNA from 1 species